rnacentral:rRNA from 1 species
CAGCCGCCACGGUAAUACGUAGGGUGCGAGCGUUAAUCGGAAUUACUGGGCGUAAAGCGUGCGCAGGCGGUUGUGUAAGACAGGUGUGAAAUCCCCGGGCUUAACCUGGGAACUGCGCUUGUGACUGCACAGCUAGAGUAUGGCAAAGGGGGGUGGAAUUCCACGUGUAGCAGUGAAACGCGUAGAGAUGUGGAGGAACACCGAUGGCGAAGGCAGCCCCCUGGGCCAAUACUGACGCUCAUGCACGAAAGCGUGGGGAGCAAACAGGAUUAGAUACCCCUGUAGUCCCUGUCUCUUAUAC